AACGAACGCUGGCGGCGUGCCUAACACAUGCAAGUCGAACGGAAUUUGAGAGCUUGCUCUUAAAUUUAGUGGCGCACGGGUGAGUAACGCGUAGAUAAUCUGCCUGACGAUCUGGGAUAACACUUCGAAAGAGGAGCUAAUACCGGAUAAGCCCACGGAGUCUUUGGAUUCUGCGGGAAAAGGGGGGGACCUUCGGGCCUUCUGUCGUCAGAUGAGUCUGCGUACCAUUAGCUAGUUGGUAGGGUAAUGGCCUACCAAGGCGACGAUGGUUAGCUGGUCUGAGAGGAUGAUCAGUCACACUGGAACUGAGACACGGUCCAGACUCCUACGGGAGGCAGCAGUGGGGAAUUUUGCGCAAUGGGCGAAAGCCUGACGCAGCAACGCCGCGUGAGUGAUGAAGGCUUUCGGGUCGUAAAGCUCUGUCGAGGGGAAAGAAGUGUACUUUGGCUAAUAUCCAUUGUACUUGACGGUACCCCUAAAGGAAGCACCGGCUAACUCCGUGCCAGCAGCCGCCGUAAGAC
rnacentral:rRNA from 1 species